GUUGAAAUGCUGGUCCUCAUUUGAUCACCGAAGUUAAGCAACAUCGAGCCUGGUCAGUACUUAGAUGGGUGACAGCUUGGGAAUUACCAGUGACUGUAG